rnacentral:tmRNA from 1 species
GGGGGUGAAAAGGUUUCGACGGGGAUAAUGGGGAUUGUCGAGGCAUGCCGUGGAGACUACCUGCACGUUAAACUGGUGGUAAACAAGUAACUGCAAACGAUAACUUUGCACUCGCCGCUUAAUUGACGGCGACGUCCACUUCAGAGGAUGUUGUCUUCGCUGAAUGCUGGAUGUCAUAAAAUGGCAACUGGGUCUGCUGACGCUGAUAUAGCAGACUGAGAAAACAUUAGCUGGCUCAUUGACAGGUUUGACGGUUAAUCCCGCAAAUGAGUGAGAUAUAGAAAAUCGCUAAGCAUGUAGAAUCGGCUUUUGACAUAUUUUCGGACGCGGGUUCGACUCCCGCCACCUCCACCA